CUGUUUUGGCAGCACAUACACUAAAGGUAGAAUGAUGCAGAGAAGAUUAGCAUGGCCCCUGCACAAGGAUGACACACUAAUUCGUGAAGCCUUCACAUUAAAA